rnacentral:rRNA from 1 species
UCUUGGUCAUUUAGAGGAAGUAAAAGUCGUAACAAGGUUUCCGUAGGUGAACCUGCGGAAGGAUCAUUACAGUGUCUUGGAGGCCGAUGUUCCGGCGCUUCCCCACGGGGGCGUCAGGGCUCGUGCCCCCUCCACACGUGUUUACUACACUCCGUUGCCUUGGUGGGUCUGCCCUUGUGGCUGCCGGGGAUCACCGCGUGUGUCCCAGGCCCGUACCCACCGAUGGACACCCUGAACUCUUUGUGAAUAUAGUGUUGUCUGAGCGUUUAGCAAAUUAAACAAAACUUUCAACAAUGGAUCUCUUGGUUCUGGCAUCGAUGAAGAACGCAGCGAAAUGCGAUAAGUAAUGUGAAUUGCAGAAUUCCGUGAAUCAUCGAAUCUUUGAACGCACAUUGCGCCCUCUGGUAUUCCGGGGGGCAUGCCUGUUCGAGCGUCAUUGCAACCCCUCAAGCACAGCUUGUGUGUUGGGCCAUUGUCCCCCGUGGACAGGCCUGAAAUGCAGUGGCAGCACCGAGAUACCGGUGUCUGAGUGUAUGGGCAUUGAUCAUCACUCGGUAGACCCGAUCGGCGCUGGACGUCAAACCCCGAUUCCUUGCGAAUCAUCCAGUAUUGACCUCGGAUCAGGUAGGAAUACCCGCUGAACUUAAGCAUAUCAAUAAGCGGAGGA